CUUCCUGAUCCUGGAGCAGAUCUCUGGACUGUGUUGAGCAGAAGUCACGUGAGCACACUUCGAGGAAAGCAAAAGUGAAAGUAACUUUCGGGAGUCAGAUUUCAGUAAAACACCGGUAACCGAGCAGUUCCUUCAGAUGUGAUCCGGAUCACCUUCGAGUGAAAACAUGUGUCGUCGGGACGUUAUACGGUUUUUAUAAGACCGUAAUAUAAGUGUUUGUUCGGAUUGGGAGCGCAAAGAUGGAAGAGAAGAGUCUGAUUCUCGAGGGUCUGCCGGAAGAUUUCCACAGAGUCAAAGCAAAGAUCGAGCUUUACUUCAAAAACAAAAGAAGGUCUGGAGGAGAAAUCGUGCAGAUUCGAGAGCAUCCAGACGACAAACGAAAAGCGCUUCUGGUUUAUAUAAGCGAGGAAGAUCUGAAGAAGGUGCUUGACAAAAGGAUCCAUAAAGUUGAUCUCAAACCUCAUGGAUCUGUUGAAGUGACGGUGAAACUCCCAGAAGACACAAAAAUCAAGAUGAAACCACAAGUACUGCCCAAACCCAAACCAGAGACGUGCCUUGCCCUCGGAUCACCGCCAGCUGCUGCCAGACAGGUCUCUCCCGUCAGAAAGCCUACUACAGCAAUUAAAGGUCAUAAAGGUUGGACUGUAAUGCUUUUUAUUUUCAGUGUUAAAAAACAACAACCUCAGACUCCAAAACUUUUACGACGACACUUUGAUCUUAUGUAUAUAUUUGUUUAUAAUACAGAAGAUGAGGAGGAUUCUGAAA
ensembl:lncRNA